rnacentral:rRNA from 1 species
UACGGAGGGUGCAAGCGUUACUCGGAAUCACUGGGCGUAAAGAGCGCGUAGGCGGGAUAGCAAGUCAGAUGUGAAAUCCUAUGGCUUAACCAUAGAACUGCAUUUGAAACUGACGGUCUUGAGUGGGCGAGAAGUAUGCGGAAUGCGUGGUGUAGCGGUGAAAUGCAUAGAUAUCACGCAGAACUCCGAUUGCGAAGGCAGCAUACCGGCGCCCAACUGACGCUGAAGCACGAAAGCGUGGGUAUCGAACAGG